AUUGAACGCUGGCGGCAUGCCUUACACAUGCAAGUCGAACGGCAGCACGGGUGCUUGCACCUGGUGGCGAGUGGCGAACGGGUGAGUAAUACAUCGGAACAUGUCCUGUAGUGGGGAAUAGCCCGGCGAAAGCCGGAUUAAUACCGCAUACGAUCUACGGAUGAAAGCGGGGGACCUUCGGGCCUCGCGCUAUAGGGUUGGCCGAUGGCUGAUUAGCUAGUUGGUGGGGUAAAGGCCUACGAAGGCGACGAUCAGUAGCUGGUCUGAGAGGACGACCAGCCACACUGGGACUGCGACACGGCCCAGACUCCGACGGGAGGCAGCAGUGGGGAAUUUUGGACAAUGGGCGAAAGCCUGAUCCAGCAAUGCCGCGUGUGUGAAGAAGGCCUUCGGGUUGUAAAGCACUUUUGUGGAAAGAAAUCCUUGGCCCUAAUACGGUCGGGGGAUGACGGUACCGGAAGAAUAAGCACCGGCUAACUACGU
rnacentral:rRNA from 1 species